rnacentral:lncRNA from 1 species
CAGAUGCCCAAUAUGUCUUAAUUGUCUAUUAGAAAAGGAAGUUGGUUUUCCAGAAAGCUGUAAUCAUGUCUUCUGUAUGACUUGUAUUCUUAAAUGGGCAGAGACACUGGCUUCAUGUCCUAUUGACCGUAAACCUUUUCAGGCAGUGUUUAAAUUCAGUGCAUUGGAAGGUUAUGUUAAGGUUCAAGUAAAAAAACAGCUGAGAGAAACAAAAGACAAGAAAAAUGAAAACUCAUUUGAGAAACAGGUCUCCUGUCAUGAAAAUUCUAAAAGCUGUAUAAGAAGAAAAGCCAUCGUAAGAGAAGAUCUAUUAAGUGCAAAAGUUUGUGACUUGAAGUGGAUACAUAGAAACUCUUUAUACAGUGAAACAGGAGGAAAGAAAAAUGCAGCAAUAAAGAUAAAUAAGCCUCAGAGAUCAAAUUGGAGUACAAAUCAGUGCUUCAGAAAUUUUUUCUCCAAUAUGUUUUCUUCUGUUAGCCACUCUGGAGAAUCUUCCUUUACCUAUAGAGCUUAUUGUACAGAAUUUAUAGAAGCCAGUGAAAUCAGUGCAUUGAUUAGGCAGAAGAGACAUGAACUGGAAUUGUCAUGGUUUCCUGAUACAUUACCUGGAAUUGGAAGAAUUGGUUUUAUACCCUGGAAUGUUGAAACAGAAGUCCUUCCUCUCAUUUCUUCUGUGUUGCCAAGAACUAUUUUUCCAACAAGUACCAUAUCUUUCGAACAUUUUGGUACUUCUUGCAAGGGAUAUGCAUUAGCACAUACUCAAGAAGGGGAAGAAAAGAAGCAAACUUCUGGUACAUCAAAUACCAGAGGAUCAAGACGAAAACCUGCAAUGACAACUCCUACAAGGAGGUCUACACGUAACACAAGAGCUGAAACAGCCAGUCAGUCUCAGAGA